GACGAACGCUGGCGGCGUGCUUAACACAUGCAAGUCGAACGGAAAGGCCCUGCUUUUGUGGGGUGCUCGAGUGGCGAACGGGUGAGUAACACGUGAGUAACCUGCCCUUGACUUUGGGAUAACUUCAGGAAACUGGGGCUAAUACCGGAUAGGAGCUCCUGCUGCAUGGUGGGGGUUGGAAAGUUUCGGCGGUUGGGGAUGGACUCGCGGCUUAUCAGCUUGUUGGUGGGGUAGUGGCUUACCAAGGCUUUGACGGGUAGCCGGCCUGAGAGGGUGACCGGCCACAUUGGGACUGAGAUACGGCCCAGACUCCUACGGGGGGCAGCAGUGGGGAAUAUUGCACAAUGGGCGGAAGCCUGAUGCAGCAACGCCGCGUGCGGGAAGACGGCCUUCGGGUUGUAAACCGCUUUCGCCUGUGACGAAGCGUGAGUGACGGUAAUGGGUAAAGAAGCACCGGCUAACUACGUG
rnacentral:rRNA from 1 species